AGACGGAGGGUGCUAGCGUUGUUCGGAAUUACUGGGCGUAAAGGGCGCGUAGGCGGCUCUGCGAGUCGGGCGUGAAAUCCCGGGGCUCAACCCCGGAACGGCGCUCGAUACUGCGGGGCUGGAGACCGGAAGAGGGGGGUGGAAUUCCCAGUGUAGAGGUGAAAUUCGUAGAUAUUGGGAGGAACACCGGUGGCGAAAGCGGCUCUCUGGUCCGGUUCUGACGCUGAGGCGCGAAAGCGUGGGGAGCAAACAGGAUUAGAAACCCUAGUAGUCC
rnacentral:rRNA from 1 species